rnacentral:lncRNA from 1 species
AGAACCUUCCAUUAUCAAAUCCUAGUACUCCACUUUCACCACUGGAGACACUACUGAGAGCUGCUGGAUCUACGUAACUAAAAGCAUUUUAAUACACUUUAUUUUUUUAUGUAACUGAGAGUAUAAUAAGUAUAACAAAAUAAGAUUAAAUGUUCGAGGAGGUACUAAUACGUGUACUGGUAUAAUGUCUUUGUUAAACAGAGUGUAAGCAAUCAAAUGCUUUCGUCAA